CCUACGGGAGGCAGCAGUGAGGAAUAUUGGUCAAUGGGCGCGAGCCUGAACCAGCCAAGUAGCGUGAAGGAUGACUGCCCUACGGGUUGUCAACUUCUUUUAUAAAGGAAUAAAGUGAGGCACGUGUGCCUUUUUGUAUGUACUUUAUGAAUAAGGAUCGGCUAACUCCGUGCCAGCAGCCGCGGUAAUACGGAGGAUCCGAGCGUUAUCCGGAUUUAUUGGGUUUAAAGGGAGCGUAGAUGGGUUGUUAAGUCAGUUGUGAAAGUUUGCGGCUCAACCGUAAAAUUGCAAUUGAUACUGGCAGCCUUGAGGACAGUUGAGGUAGGCGGAAUUCGUGGGGUAGCGGUGAAAUGCUUAGAUAUCACGAAGAACGCCGAGUGCGAAGGCAGCUUACGAAACUGCCACUGACAUUGAUGCUCGAAAGUGUGGGUAUCAAACAGGAGGAGAGAGCCUUGGAGGC
rnacentral:rRNA from 1 species